CAAUAGCGUAUAUUAAAGUUGUUGCAGUUAAAAAGCUCGUAGUUGGAUUUCUGGAUGGAGCGACCGGUCGGGCAUUAAUUUGUCUGCACUGGAGUCGGUUCCGUCCAUCCUCUUGGAAAGUGCGUGGGGCAUUAAGUUGUCUGGCGUAUGAUCCAAGUCGUUUGCUGUGAAAAAAUUAGAGUGUUUAAAGCAGGCCUUCGCCUUGAAUACAUUAGCAUGGAAUAAUAAGAUAGGACUUUGGUCUAUUUUGUUGGUUUGCAGACCGAAGUAAUGAUUAAUAGGGAUAGUUGGGGGUAUUUAUAUUCCGAUGUCAGAGGUGAAAUUCUUAGAUUUUCGGAAGAUAAACUUAUGCGAAAGCAUUUACCAAGGAUGUUUNCAUUAA
rnacentral:rRNA from 1 species